CCUACGGGUGGCUGCAGUGAGGAAUAUUGCGCAAUGGGGGAAACCCUGACGCAGCGACGCCGUGUGAGCGAUGAAGGCCUUCGGGUCGUAAAGCUCUGUCAGAGGGGAAGAAAGGGGAUAUGGUUAAUACCCAUGUCCAUUGACGGUACCCUUUGAGGAAGCACCGGCUAACUCCGUGCCAGCAGCCGCGGUAAUACGGAGGGUGCGAGUGUUAUUCGGAAUCACUGGGCGUAAAGAGCACGUAGGCGGAUCGGUAAGUCAGAUGUGAAAUCCCGGAGCUCAACUCCGGAACUGCAUUUGAUACUGCCAGUCUUGAGUGAGGUAGAGGGGGGUGGAAUUCCCGGUGUAGAGGUGAAAUUCGUAGAUAUCGGGAGGAACACCAGAGGCGAAGGCGACCCCCUGGGCCUUUACUGACGCUGAGGUGCGAAAGCGUGGGGAGCAAACAGGAUUAGAUACCCCAGUAGUC
rnacentral:rRNA from 1 species